rnacentral:rRNA from 1 species
UACGAACGCUGGCGGCAGGCUAACACAUGCAAGUCGAGCGCGCCUUCGCGGUGAGCGGCGGACGGGUUAGUAACGGACGUGCCCAGCUCUGCGGAAUAGCCUCUGGAAACGGAGAGUAAUACCGCAUACGCCCUUUUGGGGAAAGAUUUAUCUGGAGUUGGAUCGGCCCGCGUUAGAUUAGGUAGUUGGUGGGGUAAUGGCCUACCAAGCCUACGAUCUAUAGCUGGUUCUACAGGAUGAUCAGCAACACUUGGGACUUGAGACACGGGCCAAGACAUCCUACGGGGAGGCCCGCACGCUGGGGAAAUCUUCGACCAUGUUGGAACCCUG